rnacentral:rRNA from 1 species
CCUUGUACACACCGCCCGUCAAGUCAUGAAAGUCGGUAACACCCGAAGCCCAGUGGCCCAACCGCAAGGAGGGACGCUGUCGAAGGUGGGAUCGGUGAUUAGGACU